rnacentral:tRNA from 1 species
GGGGAUGUAGCUCAGUGGUAUAGCUCUUGCCUAGCAUUCUCAAAGCCCUGGGUUCAAUCCUCAGCACCCCCU